UCGGUGCAGGGAAGUCACCAGGGCCGAAGCAACUCCAGUCUAGUGAUAUCCCCCAAGGGCUGACCUGAGAUCCCAUGCGAGGGUGCGGCUCAAGUGUAGGGUUAGGGUUAGAAACAGGGUUACGAUUAGGUUGAGGGUUAUGGUUAGGGGUACAGUUAGGGUUUUCUUCGUUCCCAAGGCUCCAUGCACUGAACCCACAGCAGUGCUGUUGCCUCCACAAAUGACUGAGUGGUGUGCACAACCGAGGCUGUGGGUCAGGAUUAAUCUUUGGGUUCUAAGGACAGACAGCUGUAUCUGGUCUGGUGUAGAUAGGUGUGUCUAGUGUGAGUGAUAGGGUUAGGUUUAGGUUGAGGGUUAGCAUGGGGUCCUGGUUAGCAUUAGGGUUAGGUCCCAGGACGUUCCAGGCACUGAAACCACAGCAGAGCAGUUGUCUCCCCAAAGGGCAGAAGGGAGUACACAAGGGAGGGUGCUGGUCAGGAUUAGUAUUUUGGUUCCAAGACCAGACAACUGUAUGGGUCACCCAUCGUUUAGGCCUCAGGAAUCCUCUUGUGCAGCUGCAGCCGCACUUUGGAAAUACAUGGUGAUGUCCACAUUCAAUGCUGACUGUUCAUGAACCAUUUCUGGUCCUGGUGUGUGUGCUGUUAUUAGUCUUUCGAUAUGGAUCCCCAUGGGGAGAGGGCCUUAGGUUAUAGUUUUAGAUUUAGCGGAUAGAGUUAGAGCGUUAGGAUGAGGGUUUUAGGGUUAGAGUUAGAGGCUUAGGGUUAGAGGGUUAGGGUACGGUUAGGGUUAGUUCGGGUUAUGUUUAUGUUUAUGGUUAGUUAGAGGUAGGGCUAGGGUUAGGGGAAGGGUAGGGGCAGGAUUUAGCAUUAGGGUUAUGGUUAGGGUUAGGUGUUAGGUUUAGGUGGUGGGAUUUUGUUUAGUGAUAGGGUUAGGAGAUGGGCAAGGAGUAGGUCAUGCUUGCAUCCCCACUUUGAGCGGGAAGGUGUUCGUGCGUGGACACCGCCCUCCAUGUUCAAGGGAUUGUGUUCUUGCUAUCGCCCCAGUCUCUCUGCACUGUAGGUUGUUCUUGCCUUGGCCAUUCCAGCUUUGCUCUGGAGUUUUUCACACUGUCACCCCACCCCCUCUCGGUAUGGUAAGAUUUCACGUUCCACCCAAUCGCUUUUGGUGCAAGGGGUGUGUUCACACAUGCGACCCUCCACAUCCUCUAGGUGCGAUGGUGUCACCCAUGAGCCUCAUCGCUCCUUAGAUUGGGAUUACUGAUGCCAGUAUUAAAUCUGAUACCGAUGCCAGUAUUAAAUCAUGAAUAUCUCUUUUCACUUUCACAACUGAAGAAGUAGGCGUUUCCUAAGGUAAGGUUUAUGGUUAGGAUUAAUGUCAGGUGUCAGUUAAGGUUUAGGGCAUGGUGCAAUCCCCCUUGGUGUGGGAUGGCUUCACGAAUGUGUCCCAUCUGCUUCCCUUUAUCCGUGAUGUAGCAGUGAUAUUCCUUUUAAUUCAGAUGUUUUCCUUGGCACCUGGAUGUCUCUGAGUUAAGCGUCCCACUUCGUCAUGGUUCAUGAUAUCUUGGUUUCUGGUUUUGAUCCCUGGGUAGCUUCUGUGCUGAUAGCUGGGAAUCUGGAGCCUGCUUCAGAUACUAUCUGUCUCUCUCUCUCUCUCUCUCUGCCCAUGCCCCACUUGUGUUCUUUGUGUCUUUCAAAAAUUAAUGUACCUAAAAUCAUUUUCAAUCCGAUAUUUCCUGGAUGGCUCUUUUCACUUUCAUUGCUGAAGAAGCAGGCGUCUGUCUCGUUCAUUGUUCUUUUGUUAUCUUUGGCAUAGCUGACAACAUAUACGACAUUUCCCCAGCCAGCAUCGGGGAUGCGCAGCAUUUCUUCUACCAGCCGGACACCUCUCAUCCACUGUAACACUGCAUUCCUCUAGAGCAUCCCACAUGCUCUCGGAAACUGGACUGUAACUGUGGAUGGUAGCAGUGUCCCAUAGUCUUCUGAUGGUAUUUCAGGAGGUUCUUCAUUCGCAUCUUUGGUUACCUGAGUGUCUUCUGACAUCUCUCAUGUUUCCACUAGGCCGCUGCUAUGAUGCUCAACAGGGAACCUGAAGCACACAGGGAUUCAGGAGCAGACCAACUACCGCUUGGCUCCCACAAAUGGUCGCCUUGCAGCUCUUUAUGGAAGAGGAGAAAACACCCACCACCACCGUUUCAUAACCCUGCACCGAAUGUGGAGACAACAAUCACCCACCCCCAAAGGAAACUCUAGCAGGGUACAUGUAUCAAACCUAAGGUGUUGGUUAUGUAUUUUGGGUCAGUAAGUGAGGUUGUACUUUUGACUGGUAAGUGUACAUCUAAAUCCCUCAGAGGGGAUAUUCUCUGAGGUCACCCCAACCUAAAUUGUUGGCCCAUGGGGAGAUGUGUUGUCCCUAUUGGCUGUAUUGAUGUUGUCUCUGUAGGCCAGUGAAUUAAAGCUCCAUAGGGUCUUGUCCUGUUCUUGCCUCUUCACGGGAAUGUCCAUUUCACCUAUUGAAAAAGACAGCAAGUGAGUAGUGUUACCACUAUUAAAUCUGACGUUUCAUGAAUGAGUCUUUUCACUUUCAUGGCUGAAGAAGCAGCAUCUCUUAUAAUGAGGGUUAGGGUUUGGAUUACCCUGAGGAUUAGGGUAAGGGUUAAGUCAUGCUUGCAUCCCCGUUUUGGCAAGGGAGGAACGUCACACCUGACCCCCGCCACCCUCCUUGUGGAAGGGUGUUCAGGCAUGCAGCCUGCCUCCCCUCCACAAGGGAGUAGUGAUGCCACUACUUAAUGUGUUGUUUCAUGAAUGGCUCUUUUCCCUUUCACAGCUGAAGAAGCAGGCAUUUCUUAAGGUAAGUGUUAUGGUUAGGAUUGCCGUUCAUGGUUAGGGUAAGGGAUAGGCCAUGCCUGCACCCUCCCUUGGAGUGGGAGGGCGUUCACACAUGAGCCACGCCCCCCUCAUCUUGGGAGGGUGUUCACCAAUAGGAACCAGUCCCCUUCAGCGGGGGGGCUGUUGAUGUAUGCGCCUGCACCCAUCUCGUGUGUGAGGGUGUUCAUGCAUGGACACCACAACCCUUGGCGAGGGAGGGCAUUUGUCCAUGCACCAUGCCCUCCUUGGCUCAGGAGGUGUUCACGCAUGAGCACAGUGCCCCCUUGGCUUGAGAAGGUGUUCAGGUAUGUGCAUGAACCUGCCCCCCAGCGUGGGAGGGGGUUCACACAUGUGCCCUCCCCCCUCAGGCGCUGGAGGGGGUCACCUGUGCACAGCACCACUAGUCAGCAAGGGAGUAGUGAUGCCACUAUUAAAUCUGACGUUUCAUGGACGGCUGUUUUCACUUUCACAGCUGAAGAAGCAUGCUUCUCUUAAGGUCAGGGGUAGGGUUAGCAUUACAGUUAGGGGUUAAGAUAAGGGCUAGGUCAUACUUGCUCUCCCCCCUCAGCACGGGAAGACUUCAUGCAUCACCCCACUAUCCUGAGCAAGGGAGAGUGUUCACCCUUUCACCCCAAUCCCUGAGAGUGGUAAAAUAUUGAAGCACGUGCUCCACUCCACUUCCGCUGGGGAGGGCUUUCACACAUGCGUAGAUCCCCCCUUCGGGACAGAUUGUUCACAUAUGUGCAUGACCACCUGUCGGGUCGGGAGGGUGUUCAAUCGCGGGCACACCCCACCUCUGCAUGGGAGAUGGUUCAUGCAUGUGUCUUGCUCACCUCAGCAGGGAAGGUUUUUACGCAUGUGCACAGCCCCACCUUGGUGUGGGAGGAGGUCACCCAUGCAGAGCGCCACCCUUAAAUGAGGGAAUAGUGAUGCCAUUAUUAAAUGUGACGUUUCAUGAAUGGUUCUUUUCAAUUUCACAGCUGAAGUAGCAGACAACUCUUAAGGUAAGGGUCUGGGUUAGCAUUACCAUUAACAGUUAGGGUAAGGGUUAGGUCAUGCUUCCACACCCACCCCCUCGUCUCUAGAGUGUAUUCACGCAAUAGCACCGCCCCUCAAUGUGGGAGAAUAUUCAUGCAUGUGUCCCGCCCCGUACAGGGUGGGAGGGUGUUCACACAUGUGCCCCAUCCUCUUCAGCUUGUAAGUGCGUUCACGCAUUCUCACAUUUGCACCACCCGUCCCAAGGUGAGGGAGGGUGUUGACACAUGUGCCCUGUCUCCCUCGGCAUGGGAGGUGGUUCACACAUGCUCCUCAUCCCCUCGGUGAUGGAGGGUGUCACCCAUGAACAGUGCCACCCCUCGGAGAGGGAGUACUGUUGCCACUAUCAAAUGUGACCUUUCAUCAAUGAUUCUUUUCACUUUCACAGCUGAAGAAGCAUGCAUCACUUAAGGUAAGGGUUAGGGUUAGCAUUACAUUUAGGCUUUAGGGUAAGGGUUAGGUCAUGCUUGCUCCCCCUCUCUGCACGAGAGGUGUUUCACUAAUACUCCAUGCCCCCCCUGGCACAGAUGGGUACAGCCCUCCGUCCGUGUAGAAGGGUGUUCUCACGCACAACCCUCCUUGUUGACGGAGGGCGUUUGUGCACGCACCCUGCCCCAUUAGUGUGGGAGUUUGUUCUCGUGUGUGUAAGGCCCCCCUCCUGGCGGAAGGGCGUUCACCCAUGUGCACCAUCCACCCACUUUGGCAUGGGAAGGUGUUGACCUAUGUGACGUGACACGUCAGCAUGGGGGAAUAUUCACGCAUCUGCCCUGCCCCCCUCUGCCCAGGAGGGUGUUCAUGCAUGCGCACAGCCACCAGUCAGUGAGGGACGGUAUUCAUGCAUGCGCACAACAACCCCUCCAUGAAAGAGGGCAGUCACAUAUGCGUCCUGCAUCGCUCAACAAGGGAAUGGUUCAAGCGUGUGCCACAUACGCAUUUUGUCACGGGAGGGUGUUGACCUACGCACCUUACCCCCUCAGCGCUGGAGGGUGUUCAUAGAUGUGCACAGCCUCCGUUGUGGCGGAAGUGUGAACCCCGGCUAGGGGAGGGAUGCCAUUCGCACGUAGGUCCCGCCCCAUACCCUUGGGUGCUGUUCACACAUGUGCACAGCUCUCCCUACUGGCGGAAGAGUGUUCACACAUGCACAAAACUCCUGCUCCAAGAGGUAGGGCGUUUCCACAUGAGCACAAUCCCCAUCAGUGAGGGAGGACAUGCAUGCAUGCUCCUUGCCCACUACCGCAGGAGGCUGUACAGGCAUGCGCACAGCCCCCCCUACUGGUGUAUGUUCACGCAUGCACACAGCUCCCCUCAAUGAGGGAAGGCAUUUGCACAUGCGCCCCCCUCCCCUGGGCAAGGAAGGGUGUUCAGGCAUGCACAGAACCACCACCUCAGCCAGGGAGGUCGUUGGUGCAUGCGCCCUGCCCCACUUAGCACAGGAGGUGGUUCAGGCUUCCGCCUGGCCCCCUGUCAGCAUGUGAGUCGGUCACCCAUGCACAGCGCCACCCCUCAGGGAGGAAGUACUGAUGUCACUAUUGAAUGUGAUGUUUCAUGAAUGGUUCUUUUCACUUUCACAGCUGAAGAAACACAGCUGAAGAAACGCGGCCAGGGAGGGCGUUGACGUAUGCUCCCCGCUCCCCUUGCCAGGAUGCUGUUCACGCAUGUGCAAAGUCCCCCCUCCUUGCCAAAGGGGGUUCAGGCAUGCCCACAACCCCCGCUCUGUGAGGCAGACCAUUUGUACAGGCACACGACCCUCCCUCAGCAAGGGACAGUGUUCAUGCUUGGCCCCACUCACCUCGGUGGGAAGGGUGUUCACACAUGCACAUAAGCCCCCUCAGCAUUGGAGGCGUUCAAACAUGUGCCUCACCCCACUUGACGCCAGAGGUGGUUCAGGAUUCUGCCUUGCCCCUGGUUGGUGUGUGAGAUGGUCACCCAUGCACAGUGCCACCUUUUAGGGAGAGAGUAGUGAUGUCACUAUUAAAUGUGAUAUUUCACGAAUGGUUCUUUCACUUUCACAGCUGAAGAAACACACAUCUCUUAAGACUUGCAUCUUCCCUCUACCUCUAUACUCCAAGUUCCUGGCUGGCACUGGAAUUACAUCUUUAGCACGGACAUCAUAACCUCCAGGUGAGGUAAGUAUGAUUAUUUUCAUUUUGAAAAUCAACAAUCUGAAGCUCAAAAGAGAGUAGGUCAUGUUUCUGAGAUCACAGUACUAGUAAGUGCUGUCCUUUGGAUAACUUUGUUCUUAUGGGCUCCAAAGCCCACUUUCUUUCAUCUACCAUAUGUCCCCAAGAUGAACGGGGAAAAGCCAUACUUCAGCCUGGUAUAAUAUAAGCAAUUGUAAGUGUAAAGCUGGUGUAACAAUUCAGGAAAUGGGAUUAAGUUUAGUAUUUGAGUAAUUAUACCCACAGGUUGAAUUUCAUUCUCACAUCCUUUGAUUUUUUACUGCUGUAAUUUCUGUUAUCCUUAAUGAUUAUAUAAACGUAUUCUUCCCUUUGCAAAAUUUAGUUGUAAGAAUACUGAGUGAGUUUGUUUCUUUUGUAACAGGUCUGACUUAUACAAUGAAUUCAUAAUGUCAAGAUAAUAGCGGUUAUUUUUUUUACUACAAUAUAGAGGAAAAGGUCAUUGCCUUUGUUGUAAGAGUUUACCAUGUGUUCUUGGUAACAUGACUGAGCUGUAUUGGUGAAAACCCGUCAUAGAUUUUGAAAGUCAUUUAUUUAUAGUUAAGAGAGUAUCGUUCUUUCUUUGGGUGCAGCUGAUUGUUUGAAAUAGAACUUAGGAUGUUUCUGCAUAGAUUGUCUAUUUCAGAAUGAUCUUUGUUUUAAAAAGUAUGUUAUAUUUGCAUUCAUGCAAGUUGUACCAUCAUUAAAUUGACAGGAAAGCAGCUGUUAAUAGUUGUCAUUUGGACAUGUAGAUGGAAAUCCUAAGGGUCAUGGUGUGACUCCUUACACGUGUUGAGCUCUGGUUUCAUUUGGCAUUUCCAAACCAUUGCCAUGACCUUAUGAAUGUUGAUCAAGUGGCCAUAUAAUGGUUGUUUUAAAUUGGCAUCAGUGGUGUAGAGAUGAUUCUUAAGUUGUGUAUGAGGAAGCUGUUGGUUUUCUGCUUCUAUGUCUGUGUAGCUCCUAAAAAUAGAAGACUAGCGCAUCUUAUCAAAAUUACUUUUGUUCAAAGUCAUUGCAACUUGUGAAUGAGCUAAAGGCUUAGAUAAUAGUCAGGACUUUUGGAGUCUGAUAUUUGCAAAUUUAAAAUAGGUCUUCGGGUAUCUGUCUGGCUCCGUUGGUUAAUCAUCUGACUUUGGCACAGGUCAUGAUCUCACUGCUCGUGACUUUGAGGUCCAUGUUGGGCUCUGUGCUGGCAGCUGGGAGCCUGGAGCCUGAUUGCGAUUCUGUGUUCCCUCUUUCUGCCCCUCCCUGGCUCAUGCUCUUUCUCUCUCUCUCAAAUAUAAACUUAAACAUAGAAAAUAGGUCUAGAAUAAAUCUGUAGACCAUAACAUAUUUAUAGUGACUGCUGAUUGAAACAAAGAAAUAGCCUGAAAUUCCAAACAUACACUACUGUUGUUUCCCUAGGCUCCCAUGAAAUGCCAGGUUGACCAUUAAGCUGAAAACAAGCAGUAAUCUUUUAGUAACUUGGAAGAGAUAAGCAUACUAUCAUAGCUAGUAAGGUUUGGUAUAUGUCGUUUUGGUAGACCUAUUUUAUUUAAUGAUCAAAAAAUUGAUUUCAGGUCUCUUUUAUUUGGGUAUUCAGGAUUAAGAACAGUUACCCAAGGCAAAUGAAUUAAGACCAUUUUAGAACUGACCUGGACUUAAAAAACCAGAGACUGGAGUCAUGAUAAAGAUAGUUUGAACAUGCCAUUUCAUCAAAUAAAAAAAAAAUACAGCUCCUGAAUGACAAUCAUCAUGUUGGAGGAGAGUUUCUGGUGUUCCCUCCACAAAUGGUGCAUGAUUUUCAGUCAAGGAUACAGCCUCACUGACUGUACUUUUACUGACAUGAUGGUUCAGAUACCAACAAUGUUGUCUGUUGGGAUUGUCUUUUACAAAACUGAUAUCCUUUCAGUUUUCAGCUUACUUAAUAUACUAAGGAGAAAAAAAAUGUUUCCCUCUUUCUGAAAAAUAAUCCCAUUUGUAUUUAGAGUUAUCAUUAAACAUAGUAUUUCUAAAAAUGGCUAAUAAAUUGGAAGUGAAUAUAAAUUUGCUUGUGAAGUUAUCAAAUGGAAAACUGUUGCCAAAGCAGUUAUUUUAUGUUUUAUAGGAAAACUAAUCUUUUAUGUCCUUACUGCAUUUAUGUUAUAUCCUAUUCACUUUUAUUUCAUGCUAUUUGUGUGUGUGUGUGUGUGUGUGUGUGUGUGUGUUUGCAACUAAGUGAAAUGUGCAAUAUUUGGUCAUUUAAAUAGAUUCACUAAUUUAGGCAAAGUCAGCCAUAAACAAAUGCAAUACAUUAUGUCCAAAGUAGUCAAGCAGAUUUUG